CUAGUACUCCCUCUGUUCGAAAUUACUCGUCCAAGAAAUGAAUGUAUUUAGAUGUAUUUUAGUUGUAGAUACAUUCAUUUAUGUGACAAGUAAUUCCGAACGGAGGGAGUAGAAA
rnacentral:pre_miRNA from 1 species